rnacentral:rRNA from 1 species
UGGGGAAUAUUGCACAAUGGGGGAAACCCUGAUGCAGCGACGCCGCGUGAACGAAGAAGGUAUUCGUAUCGUAAAGUUCUGUCCUAUGGGAAGAUAAUGACAGUACCAUAGAAGAAAGCUCCGGCUAAAUACGUGCCAGCAGCCGCGGUAAUACGUAUGGAGCGAGCGUUGUCCGGAAUUAUUGGGCGUAAAGGGUACGCAGGCGGUUUAAUAAGUCGAAUGUUAAAGAUCGGGGCUCAACCCCGCAAAGCAUUGGAAACUGAUAAACUUGAGUAGUGGAGAGGAAAGUGGAAUUCCUAGUGUAGUGGUGAAAUACGUAGAUAUUAGGAGGAAUACCAGUAGCGAAGGCGACUUUCUGGACGCAAACUGACGCUGAGGUACGAAAGCGUGGGGAGCAAACAGG